rnacentral:rRNA from 1 species
GACAGAGGGUGCAACGUUGUUCGGAAUUACUGGGCGUAAAGGCGCGUGUAGGCGGCCAUGCAAGUCGGAUGUGAAAGCCCUCGGCUCAAACCGGGGAAGUGCACUCGAAACUGCAAGGCUAGAGUCUCGGAGAGGAUCGUGGAAUUCUCGGUGUAGAGGUGAAAUCGUAGAUAUCGAGAGGAACACCGGUGGCGAAGGCGGCGAGUCUGGACGAUGACUGACGCUGAGACGCGAAAGCGUGGGGAGCAAACAGG